GAGGGUAUAGCUCAAGUGGUAGAGCACAUGCUUAGCAUGCAUGAGGUCCUGGGUUCAUUCCCACUAACUACU
rnacentral:tRNA from 1 species